rnacentral:lncRNA from 1 species
AUAACAGAGUGUCGUCAAUAGUGUCAGGGACUGGUGCUUGUCCAUGGGAUUGGUCUCAAGUUGGGCCAGUUAUUGGUCGGCCAUUCCCUUUGUCUCUGCUCCAUCUUUGUCCCUGCAUUUCUUGACAGGACAAACUUCGGGUCAAAGUUUUGUGGAUGGGUUGGUGCCCAUCUACUGGGUCCUGCCAGGCUGAGUUGUGUCAUGUAAUAUGGACUUAGUACUGUUUGAGGUACCAUAAAGGAGCAGACUCAAAUAAAGAAAAUCCACGCUCCGGUAUUCCAGCUGGCACCUGAGGCCGGCCGGCUGGAUGCAGCCCUGAGCAUCUGUGUCCCGUUGCCUUAUAGCCUCCUCCCAGCACAGGUGUGUUAACCCAGCGUUAGGACUAGGCUUUGGUCUCAGCUUCCUGCUUAAUCAGCCUUGCCCAGAACCUGGCCUGGUUGGCUGCCAAACUCUCCCCCAUGCCUGCUCCUCCUCCUUACUCAUUGUUCCUGGAACUUCAGUGUUGCCUCUUACACUCUGAGAGCCUUCUGCUGUUUACUUUUCCUGCUGUGACCCCACCUCCUUGUUGUUCUCAUCCAGGAAGUGGACUUCUGUCCAGUUCAAGUCUGAACACUAUGCUCUAGACUCUGGACCACCCCAGAGAGAUCAACCCUGUCACCCAGGUCAAUAGCUUCUUUUGGGAGGCUGGUGUCCUCUUCCUCAAUUCUCACACCAAGGCUUCAGUUUCAUCGUGGCCUUCAGUUGCUGUAUGGACCCAGCAGCAAGAAAUUCUCAAAACAGACUAGAACGAAGAAAAAUAAAUGGAACUGCAGUAACAGAGCCACACAACUGUCCAGGAACUUCACACCAGCCAUGGAGCCGAGAGCCUCAUUUCUCAUGUGUAAAAUCAAAUAGAUUUUUAAGGAUGUCUAAGUAAGGAGAAAUAACAGCAUGAAACAGAACCACUGGGAAAAGUAGGAUAAAUCAACCCCAGAUAUAGUGGUGCUAACUUAGAAAAGAGACAAGAGCUUUAAACAAUGUUAAAAACAAUAGUGUAAUCAGAGAGACUCAAGAAAGUGUUGAAUUUGACAGAAGGAGAUGCCAGAGUGGAAGAGAUAGACAGUUUCUAGUUGCCAGGUGUUGUAAUUUGUAUAUGCAUGCCCAUGGAAGUAGAAAGACAUGGAGCAACCUCAUUGUCGCUCCUCCGUGGGUCUCACUGGCUUAGAGCU